rnacentral:misc_RNA from 1 species
GUUACUUUAGCUGUUGCCACGAGAUGGUGGGACAAUCACGGCACGCCUGCUGGUGGAUCCUAAUUCAGCGACGAAGAUACAAUUUUUGAUAAGGUCAUGAAGAGUUGAAGAAAAGAGGGGCGAGCAUUCGGAUCAUGAGCAACACAACUUUUAGCCAGUUGGGCCAUGGAAAAAGCCAAGUGCAGGGGUAACUCAUCUCUUACACAAGGAUCGAUGAAGGCAUGGAGUUUCUCUCCCACGUUGUCUUCUUGAAGCACCUCCCUUAUCAAUGUAAAAAGCAUCUUUUCUUCCCCAUUUGAAUCACUUAUAACAGCCUCUUUCCCAGAUAAGAGCUCCAGUAUCACAACCCCAUAUGCAAAUACAUCUAAUUUUGGGGUUAUCAAUCCAUUUUCAAGGUACUCCGGAGCCAUGUAGCCAUGGGUGCCAACCACAUGUCUUGUCAACUGGGUGGCACCUUGUUCAUCGUUGGCUAGCUUUCUUGCAAGCCCGAAAUUGACAAUCUUGGCUCUAAAGUCGCCAUGUAAGAGAACGUUACUGGUAUUCAAGUUUUUAUGAACAAAGGGAGGAGUGGUGUAGUUAUGAAGGUAAUUGAAGGCAUCAGCUAUAUUGUAGGCAAUCUGUAGUCUUUGCUUCCAUGAUAAAUUGCAAGAAGUUUGAUCAUUCUUACCAGAGUGGAGCCAAUCCUCCAACGAGCCGUUCUCGACAUACUCGUAAACAAGGAAGGUGUUGCCGUUGUGCACACAGAAACCAGAGAGCCUGGCAAUGUUGGAGUGAUUUAUCUUUUUAAGUAUGUUGAUCUCGCUGGAAACGUCUCCUUUCAUCACCUUCACAGCAGCAUGAUCGCCCCUAAAGGAUCCCUUGUAAACAGAACCUUUAAUUUUGUUAUCUUCAUUGAAAUAGCCCGUGGCAGUUUGGAUAUCCUCAAAUUUGUAGAUGAUCAAAGACUCAAUUGAAUAUUUAAUUCCCUCAUAAGGAAAAGGGAGAUCAUUAAUUUUGGAUACAUUGGCCUCCUGAGGUUUCUGAUGAGACGGAGGAGGAGUACGAAAAUACCAAUAUGAAAGACCAGAGAACGUAACGAGGAUAAGCAAACCACCUCCAAUGCCAACAGCCACAUAAACCCACUUUCGGAAAGAUUUGGAUUUUGAGACAGGGACGACGUCCACUGGUGUUGGAGGUGGAGAAUAUGGGGGUGAUGCGAUCAUUGAGGGUUCACUUGAGAUGGGAACUAGAAUUGGCGUAAAUGGCCAAAUCACGUCAUCUUCCAGUAACUCGUUUGCAUCAAGUACACUUUGUACACUAACAUUGAACAAUUGGGCAAUCUCAGAAACGGUGUCGCCCCAAGUGACCAUGUAGGUGAGCAUGUACUUGGCACCAAAAGCAGUCUGGUUAGACG